GCAAGGGAAGACUAAACAAUAUUAAGUUUUAAAUGCUUGUUUUUAAAAAAUAAAUAAAAGAAGAGAAUGUGAGAGACCGCGUAGCAAAAAACCCAGAAACUCAUUCGUUUUCCUCACGAAGAAGCUCCCACUCCCUCAAUCUCAUUCGUCAUCUCACCAUCUCUCUCACUUUCGACCAUACCCUAAUCACAACAAUCUGGUGGCUUCUCAAAAAAAUUAACAGGAAAAUGCUCACCUUUGUCACUUGCUUCCAAGAACUCCCACGUUCCGUCAGUCGCUGGUGGAGGAGGAAGGUAGCUUUUCGGUGGAAAAUAUUAGGGUUUUUUUGCUACAACUCCCUCUUCUCUUUUGGAUUUUUCGCCGUCUCCAAGAUUUAGGGUUUUUCGUGGUCGCCUCCAAAAUUAGGGUUUUUCGUCCUCCCCUUCUCGCCUCCGCUUCGCUCCUUUUAUCCUCAACAACUUAGGAUUCCGAGCUAGCUUAUGGAGAUCCAAAAGGGUAUCUCUUGGAAGUGCUUUAAGGUGUUCCGAUUUUGGUCUGCCUCAUUUGACGUUUAAUUCGGAAACGUGAAUUUUGACACUUAGCAGGAGCCUAUGGUGAAUUCAUUCGGAGGCGAGCAUCGCUACAAAAACGUUACCGGUUGCAAUGCUCACUUAUAACUUGGUUUGGGGAAUCUCACGACAGCAAAUGGUAAGCUUUUGUUCAUUGUUUACGCUUUUCGUGGCAUAUUACAAAGGUGGUGAAUUUGUGCAGGGUUUGGUGCAUUGCAUUGAUUGGUGAGCUGCCAUGGGUGUGAUGGUUCAAAGUCUCGAUGAAGAGCACUCUUUUGGGCAAGAAAUUCGUUAUCUGCAUUUAGCAUCAAAUGAAGAAUGAAUUGUUGUUCCAGAAGAUUAAGCCGACAAUAGCACAAAGUCCUUAUGUUACCUGUUGUUGUGACUCGACUUAUACGAUGGAGGUCAGUGAAAAAGGGUUGCAAUGGUUCCACUUGAUGAGAUAUGGAAACACGUCCAAAUGCAAUAGUAAGCAGUACUGGUGCAAAAAGGGUCUGCUGUGAUUGUCGGGUUAAAACGCUACUGCAGUAGGUGCAGCAGUGGCAGGUGGUGUUGCUGCAAGUAAAACAUGGCUAAUGACGCUCCUCAAGCUGCAAAUAAACUUGGUGAAGACCUUUACAAAGUAAUAUCGCGAGAAUAAGUCUUCAAGUCAACAACAGUGGGAUCAAUUACUGAAAUCAUACCGAUGGGCACCUUAGUUGAAAAAAGACAAUGGUAUGCUGACCGUCUUACUGCUCUUCUCAAAGUAUUGGCUGCGGAACGUAUCGGUGAUAGAACCUGGUAAGCUAAACAUUGCAAACUUCAUCACUCGGUCAUCAGUUGUCCAAGGCCUAGAAGGAUGUAGAGAAAGGGAGCAGAGCUUGCUGCAGUUACUCUACCGGCUGGUACAACAACGGCUGAUUUAGGUGAUGAAAAAAAAUGAGUUUCCGCAUUGUUAUUGCAGGAGGAUAUUGCGUCAUAUUUGAGUUUUUUUUGGAUGACACCGACAAGCACAACGUCUCCUUGGCAGCAGCAUUGCAUCCGCUUUUCCGGAUGCUUGAUAAACAUUGAAUGCAUCUUAGAUUGGUAGUAAAACAAGAACAUAACCUUCAUACAGCGGGCAGUGGGUACCCAUUAGAUCAGCUCUCAUUUUUAUCUGGCCAACAACAUGGAGUUUGCUUUUCCGAGUUCGACGAUCUUUUUUCAAAUUCAACUCCAACUGCUAUAUGAAGCAAAAACUGUUUCGAAAUCCCAAACACAUCAGAGAGAGGCGAACGGUUUGCCACCAAAAGUUUUCAAAUCAAAUCUUUGGUUGAAAUGGUUCAGUAGCACGGUUUAACGUUCAUUGUUAAUGGAUUAAUGUACAUAUCAUUUGACUUGUUUGGAAACCAAAACCUGCAGGAUUGAGGUAUGCAACAUGGCUCGAUGACGGGUAAUUUUGUGGACAGCCACGACAUAGAACAGAAAGGAAUUUUAGAACAUGGCAUAUUCUGGUGAGCUGCCAUAUGCCUGAUGAUUUGCUUCGUGGCAUGAAUCCUUAAUUUAUCAAUGCGUGUUUCCAACUCUGUUGCGCCAGGAUAGCACUAGCUUGGACUUGGUUUGUUUCAAUGCCUCGAAAAACUUAUGAUCACGCACAUACGAAAAGAGUUGGCAUGAAGGCUCUUGCUUGCAACUGCUGGGUAAUUAAACAAACUGCUUUUGGAACGGGGAACAAUGACGGUUGCGCGUCGGUGUUUGAAUGGAUCUUAUUUUUUGUUAUUCUUUUUUGUAAAAUGAUCAAAAGUAUUCAGAAUUCUCUUGAUGAUAUGCUCUUUUGUGGACCUUGCAAUAAUUUUCACUCUA